rnacentral:tRNA from 1 species
AGGAGUGUAGCUCAAUUGGUAGAGCACCGGUCUCCAAAACCGGGGGUUAGGGGUUCGAUUCCUCUCACUCCUGCCA